UCCCAUAUGGUCUAGUGGUUAGGAUUCCUGCCAUUCACGCAGGUGGCCCGGGUUCGAUCCCCGGUGUGGGAG
rnacentral:tRNA from 1 species